rnacentral:lncRNA from 1 species
UUUUGGGUCAGGGUCAAAAUGAACCCAGAAAUGGGUUUUCAAAAAAGAAAGGUAAACCUAAAAUUUUAGUCCAAAAUAUAUUUUCCAUUAUUAAAGGAACUUAUAGAAGAAAACCCAAGUGAAAUCAUGUUGGAAUAGGGGUUGAAAUCAUAAAAAUUCUAAAUUUAGGCCUUACAAGCAAUUAUUUUCAAAUUCCACUUUUGAAUUUGAG